AUUGAACGCUGGCGGCAGGCCUAACACAUGCCAGUCGAGCGGAUGAAGGGAGCUUGCUCCUGGAUUCAGCGGCGGACGGGUGAGUAAUGCCUAGGAAUCUGCCUGGUAGUGGGGGAUAACGUCCGGAAACGGGCGCUAAUACCGCAUACGUCCUGAGGGAGAAAGUGGGGGAUCUUCGGACCUCACGCUAUCAGAUGAGCCUAGGUCGGAUUAGCUAGUUGGUGGGGUAAAGGCCUACCAAGGCGACGAUCCGUAACUGGUCUGAGAGGAUGAUCAGUCACACUGGAACUGAGACACGGUCCAGACUCCUACGGGAGGCAGCAGUGGGGAAUAUUGGACAAUGGGCGAAAGCCUGAUCCAGCCAUGCCGCGUGUGUCAAGAAGGUCUUCGGAUUGUAAAGCACUUUAAGUUGGGAGGAAGGGCAGUAAGUUAAUACCUUGCUGUUUUGACGUUACCAACAGAAUAAGCACCGGCUAACUUCGUG
rnacentral:rRNA from 1 species